rnacentral:rRNA from 1 species
UACAGAGGUCCCGAGCGUUGUUCGGAUUUAUUGGGCGUGAAGGGUGCGUAGGCGGCGGAGUAAGUUGGGUGUGAAAUCCCGGGGCUCAACCUCGGAUGGCAUUCAAUACUGCUUCGCUAGAGUACUGGAGAGGAGGCUGGAAUUUACGGUGUAGCAGUGAAAUGCGUAGAUAUCGUAAGGAAGGCCGGUGGCGAAAGCGAGCCUCUGGACAGUUACUGACGCUGAUGCACGAAGGCCAGGGAGCAAACGGG